ensembl:misc_RNA
UGUUUUACAUAGGAGGUAGACGCGGCUGGAGGCCAAGGUCAAGUUGAAAGUUGCUGUCUAGCCAUCCAG